UCAGCUAGAAUAAGAAAAGUAACGGAAAUUAGAGAUGCAAAUUUGGUAUGCAAUCAUGUGGCGUAAAAGGGCCGCGCAGCGCAAGGUUUCACACUUCCGAGAUACAUAAAUGGCAGACCCUUCAUUACACGAACGAGACGUGAGAGAGAAUGUAGCCCCUUAGGCUAUCCCUGAAGAUACACCAAUCUAACCAGAGAAGAAAGAUAGCGAUGCUUGAAUUGAAAGCUACUGCAAGAUUUUUAAAAAGUUGAGCAUCGCUAUAGAUAUUAUUAUGUGAUGGUGCGAGAACCACAAGGAUAAGACAAACGGACCCGCCAAGCAAAUCAAAUCUUCUCUUCACGGCUUAAAAUGAUCAUCUGAAAAGCCACCUCAUCGUACCUUCAAUUUUCCCCUUUUCUUAUUCCUCUUUCUUGCAUCGUGCUUUCGGACGUCGCUAUUUUCGCUGAAUUUUUUAAUGCAAAUUCAGAUGAGAGUGGAAAUAUGUACCUUAUAUUACUUCACUCGUAGUCCUAUGAGAUGAGAUAAUAAUUCAUAUUAAUGAAGUAAUAUCCUAAACAUGAGAUGUAAGGAAAAUAUAUAUAUAUACGCGCUGCGUUUACAUUGUAUUGGACAAUGCUAAAAGAGUUAUAUAAAAUUC